AUAUAUCUGCCACCGGGUAGAAAUGCGUAAGGCAUUCGUUUACACAUCGUUAGGUCUAAGAAGAUGUGUGGGCGGGUGCUUAUUUUUU
rnacentral:ncRNA from 1 species